AAGAAUUGGGGGGGAUGCCCUCCAGAAUCCCACAGCGAAGUGGAACACAAGGUAGUGGCCAUGAUACCUUCAUGCCAAUUUGAAGGUAUAUCUGGGGGAUAAGACACAGAGGAAAUCAUUGAAGUUCGCACAAGCUCCACAUGUGAAGAAGAACCCCUAGUGGAGACACCAAAAAUUACAGCCAAUCUGCCAGUUUCUACGGCUUCAUUCACCCAUGCACUAGACAACACUAC